UGGGGGAUAUUGCACAAUGGGCGAAAGCCUGAUGCAGCGACGCCGCGUGGGGGAUGAAGGCCUUCGGGUUGUAAACUUCUUUUGCUCUGAACAAGGCGCACCAUGGGGUGUGUUGAGUGUAGGGGUUGAUUAGCGCCGGCUAACUACGUGCCAGCAGCCGCGGUAAUACGUAGGGCGCGAGCGUUGUCCGGAAUUAUUGGGCGUAAAGGGCUUGUAGGUGGCUGGUUGCGUCUGUCGUGAAAGCUCAUGGCUUAACUGUGGGUUUGCGGUGGGUACGGGCUGGCUUGAGUGCAGUAGGGGAGGCUGGAAUUCCUGGUGUAGCGGUGGAAGGCGCAGAUAUCAGGAGGAAUACCGGUGGCGAAGGCGGGUCUCUGGGCGGUUACUGACACUGAGGAGCGAAAGCAUGGGGAGCGAACAGG
rnacentral:rRNA from 1 species